rnacentral:rRNA from 1 species
UACGAAGGGGGCUAGCGUUGUUCGGAAUUACUGGGCGUAAAGCGCGCGUAGGCGGCUUUGUAAGUUAGAGGUGAAAGCCCGGGGCUCAACCCCGGAACAGCCUUUAAGACUGCAUCGCUAGAAUCCGGGAGAGGUGAGUGGAAUUCCGAGUGUAGAGGUGAAAUUCGUAGAUAUUCGGAAGAACACCAGUGGCGAAGGCGGCUCACUGGACCGGUAUUGACGCUGAGGUGCGAAAGCGUGGGGAGCAAACAGG